rnacentral:rRNA from 1 species
UACAGAGGUCCCAAGCGUUGUUCGGAUUCACUGGGCGUAAAGGGUGCGUAGGUGGUGAGGUAAGUCGGAUGUGAAAGCUCCGAGCUCAACUCGGAAAUGGCAUUGGAAACUACCUUGCUCGAGGGUUUGAGGGGGGACUGGAAUACUUGGUGUAGCAGUGAAAUGCGUAGAUAUCAAGUAGAACACCAGUGGCGAAGGCGAGUCCCUGGAAAACUCCUGACACUGAGGCAACGAAAGCUAGGGGAGCAAACAGG